CUCAUAUUUAAGACCUGCUAACUCAUGACCGCUGUGAGGGAGAGUGAGAUAAAAGCUGACCUGAAUGUUAUGAUCUCAGAGAAUAAUUGUAGAUGACAAUAUGCGGGGAGUGGGGCUGAUCAUACUGCUCCGGCCAUGGAGCAGUUAGAAUCAGCAUUGUGUCAGUAAAUGUAGUGCACAGACUUGUAGCAGAAUUGUUAUUUGAAGGAACAUUCAGAAGAAG